CCUACGGGAGGCAGCAGUGGGGGAUAUUGCACAAUGGGGGAAACCCUGAUGCAGCGACGCCGCGUGUGGGAAGACGGUCCUCUGGAUUGUAAACCACUGUCCCCAGGGACGAAGAUGACGGUACCUGGGGAGGAAGCUCCGGCUAACUACGUGCCAGCAGCCGAGGUAAUAGGUAGGGAGCGAGCGUUGUCCGGAAUUACUGGGUGUAAAGGGAGCGUAGGCGGGACUGCAAGUUGGGUGUAAAAUCUACCGGCUCAACCGGUAGCCGCACUCAAAACUGCAGUUCUUGAGUGAAGUAGAGGCAGGCGGAAUUCCUAGUGUAGCGGUGAAAUGCGUAGAUAUUAGGAGGAACACCAGUGGCGAAGGCGGCCUGCUGGGCUUUUACUGACGCUGAGGCUCGAAAGUGUGGGGAGCAAACAGGAUUAGAUACCCGAGUAGUC
rnacentral:rRNA from 1 species